rnacentral:rRNA from 2 species
GUCGAGCGGACAGAUGGGAGCUUGCUCCCUGAUGUUAGCGGCGGACGGGUGAGUAACACGUGGGUAACCUGCCUGUAAGACUGGGAUAACUCCGGGAAACCGGGGCUAAUACCGGAUGGUUGUUUGAACCGCAUGGUUCAAACAUAAAAGGUGGCUUCGGCUACCACUUACAGAUGGACCCGCGGCGCAUUAGCUAGUUGGUGAGGUAACGGCUCACCAAGGCAACGAUGCGUAGCCGACCUGAGAGGGUGAUCGGCCACACUGGGACUGAGACACGGCCCAGACUCCUACGGGAGGCAGCAGUAGGGAAUCUUCCGCAAUGGACGAAAGUCUGACGGAGCAACGCCGCGUGAGUGAUGAAGGUUUUCGGAUCGUAAAGCUCUGUUGUUAGGGAAGAACAAGUACCGUUCGAAUAGGGCGGUACCUUGACGGUACCUAACCAGAAAGCCACGGCUAACUACGUGCCAGCAGCCGCGGUAAUACGUAGGUGGCAAGCGUUGUCCGGAAUUAUUGGGCGUAAAGGGCUCGCAGGCGGUUUCUUAAGUCUGAUGUGAAAGCCCCCGGCUCAACCGGGGAGGGUCAUUGGAAACUGGGGAACUUGAGUGCAGAAGAGGAGAGUGGAAUUCCACGUGUAGCGGUGAAAUGCGUAGAGAUGUGGAGGAACACCAGUGGCGAAGGCGACUCUCUGGUCUGUAACUGACGCUGAGGAGCGAAAGCGUGGGGAGCGAACAGGAUUAGAUACCCUGGUAGUCCACGCCGUAAACGAUGAGUGCUAAGUGUUAGGGGGUUUCCGCCCCUUAGUGCUGCAGCUAACGCAUUAAGCACUCCGCCUGGGGAGUACGGUCGCAAGACUGAAACUCAA